UGUUAAAAAUUUCAUCCAUUUGUAUUAUUAAAAAUUGAUGUGACUAACAAAAUAACUAUAUCUCAUGUUGAUGUACAUUGACCAAUUUUUUACAAUAAAAAUAGAUGAAAUAUUUAUCA
rnacentral:pre_miRNA from 1 species